rnacentral:rRNA from 1 species
GGCGAACGCUGGCGGCGUGCUUAACACAUGCAAGUCGAACGGAAAUGCCCUGCUGGCAGGGUACUCUAGUUGCCAACUGGUGAGUAACACGUUGGUGAUCUGCCCUUCACGUCGGGAUAAGCCUAUGAAACUUGUUCUAAUACGGGAUAGGAUCCAUUUUUAGUGUGAUGGUUGGAAAUGUUUUUCGUUGUAGGAGGAGUUCUCGGCCUAUCAGCUUGUGGGUGGGGUAUUGGCCUACCACGGCGGCGACGGGUAGCCGGCCGGAGAGGGUGGACGGCCACAGUGGGACUGAGACACGGACCAGACUCCUACGGGAGGGAGAAGUGGGGAAUAUUGCACAAGGGGCACAAGCCUGAUGCAGAGACGGCGCGUGGGGGAUGACGGCCUUGGGGUUGUAAACUCCUUUCGCUAGGGCCGAAGCUUUUUGUGACGGUACCUAGAUAAGAAGCCCCGGCUAACUACGUG